rnacentral:rRNA from 1 species
AGGAUCAUUACUGAACUGUCGACAUGAGUUGUUGCUGGCCCUCAAACGGGGGCAUGUGCACGCUCUGUUUACAUACCCACUCACACCUGUGCACCCUCUGUAGUUUCGUGGCGUGGGGGGCUCUGUCCUCCCGCCGUGGCUCUACACCUUUACAUACACACACAUUGAUAAAGUCUUAUGGAAUGUAUGUCGCGUUUAACGCAAUACAAUACAACUUUCAGCAACGGAUCUCUUGGCUCUCGCAUCGAUGAAGAACGCAGCGAAAUGCGAUAAGUAAUGUGAAUUGCAGAAUUCAGUGAAUCAUCGAAUCUUUGAACGCACCUUGCGCCCUUUGGCUAUUCCGAAGGGCAUGCCUGUUUGAGUAUCAUGAACACCUCAACUCUCAUGGUUUGCCAUGAUGAGCUUGGACUUUGGGGGUCUUGCUGGCCUAUGGUCAGCUCCUCUAAAAUGGAUCAGCUUACCAGUGUUUGGUGGCACCACAGGUGUGAUAACUAUCUACGCUUGUGGUUUGCCAUCAGGUAACCUUCAGUGAUGGAGGUUCGCUGGGGCUCACAAAUGUCUCUCCUCAGCGAGGACAGCUUUUUGAACGUUUGAUCUCAAAUCAGGUAGGACUACCCGCUGAACUUAAGCAUAUCAAUAAGCGGAGGAAAAGAAACUAACAAGGAUUCCCCUAGUAACUGCGAGUGAAGCGGGAA